rnacentral:rRNA from 1 species
UGGGGAAUAUUGCGCAAUGGACGAAAGUCUGACGCAGCGACGCCGCGUGUGGGAUGAAGCUCUUCGGGGUGUAAACCACUGUUGCCAGGGAAGAAACUCUUGAUUCGUCAAGACUGACGGUACCUGGUGAGGAAGCACCGGCUAACUCUGUGCCAGCAGCCGCGGUAAUACAGAGGGUGCGAGCGUUGUCCGGAAUCACUGGGCGUAAAGGGCGCGUAGGUGGCGGGAUAAGUGUGUGGUGAAAGCUCGGGGCUCAACCCCGAGUCUGCCAUGCAGACUGUCUUGCUCGAGCGUAGUAGAGGCAGGUGGAAUUCCGGGUGUAGCGGUGGAAUGCGUAGAGAUCCGGAAGAACAUCGGUGGCGAAGGCGGCCUGCUGGGCUACUGCUGACACUGAGGCGCGACAGCGUGGGGAGCAAACAGG